CAUCCAAAACUUGGAAGAGAAUUGCAACUCACAUGAAGGAACUACUCUGUUCAUUCCUUCCACAAAUGACUAUGAUGGGAGUGCACCGGGGAAAUAAUUUAUUGUGAUUAAAAGCUAGACUUGUUAGCCAAAGCAAAAUAUCCCCUCCCCUGUUUCUCCAUCACCUCCCUCUCAUCUACACCCCUCCCCUCUCAAGCUCUGGGUGUUUCCUGAGUCAAUAUGGUUUUCAUUUCUCAAGGUGGGAAAAGGGAAAGGGUGGGAAGGUUGUGUGUAGGGAUGGGGGAUAUAUUUGAUUCAGUUCAUAUUUAAAAGAGAACCUGCCCAAACCACACUUUCUGAAACACUAGGAGAACAACAAGAACAAAAAAGUCAUCUGUUGAAGUUUGCAUUUCUCUGAAUUUUGCAAUGCCAGCUUUUUGGAAAAUCAGAGGCAAAAUAACUGCUUUUAAGAUUCUCUGGUCUAGACACUUUGUUAAUGGCAUGAUCUGAAUUGAGAAUAUGGGAGUCUUCCCCAAAUCACCCUCAUCAUUCAGGGGACGCAUAGAAUGAUCAACUUCCCUACUGAAAAGUAGCCUGCACAUCAUCAGCAUCGUCUUCAUCUGAAGUUGCCUUUGUAGAAUGUCAUGUGAUCAUCCCACACGCAACUGGUUCUUUGUUCCACAUUGGCAAACAAGUGAGUAACCAUUUAUUAAAGCCUCGGUUAAUGAUUAAUUAGCUGUUCAUAUACUAUUGAUGAGUGGAACCUAUCUGCUGUCACCUGGACCUGGGUAGCGUGCAAAGUUGCUAUGCAAAGAGGGCUCUCUAUAACGCUUCCUCGCUCCCCCUGCCUUGCUGGUCUGGAUUCAAUGCUUUCAUGACAGGCAGAAGCAAGAAAACCAGUGUUGCUCUGGCAAGUUUGUUGGAGAAGACAAAAUGAGAAGACUGUGCUUAGAGUUACAUUGAAUCGGAUUUGGAGAGUCCUGCUCAGGUGAGACAUCUGGUGAAGGUCAGAGCAGAACAAAUAGAAGUGUGAUAAGACCAGCAAAAAAGGUCGGAAGGAUAAGCAGAAAAUGUGGAGCACCCCAGAGCUUUCCUUGCUGGCAACAAAUAAGGAACAUUCCACAGGGACUGUAACUGGAUUCUCUAAGCAUAUUCAGGUAUUGGAGUAUAUUUCACUGUUAUAUUCAUAUUGUCAAUAAUGGGACCUUUCUGCGGGAAAUGAUGGCUCUUUCUGUAAACAUAAUAAUAUUUGGAAGAGGGGGAAAAAGCACAGCAAAUGUUGGACCACCAAAAAAGAAAAAGAAAAAAUUAAAUUGCUGGAGUAUUCCCUGGUCAGCAAAACUUACCCAGGGAAUGCUUAGUUUCAUUCAGUUUGCUGAAUCAGUAGUUUUGCACUUUUUUUUAAAGCAGUGACUUUUCAGAUUCAUGAGGGUACGGAAGGCAAUCUUCAUAUUUAUAAGGACAAGCUGUCAACUUGUUUUCCAUAAUUUAUAAACUCCUUAAAACAAACAAAAAAAAAGGCUUCACUUUCCUACUGUUGGAAUGAUGGAAAUGACCUGUAAAUGCAACAGGGGAGACUUAGGGCAGGACCCAGCCAGAUUUAAGGACUUCAAAGACUCUUUAAUGUCACUGGAAGGGUUAAGCAUGUGCUGAAAUCCCUCCUGCUGAGAUCAGCUUAAAAGUGCAUUGCCAUGACAGUAUCAUGCCUCUGCUUUCAAUGAUGAUGAUGAUGAGCCUGUUUUUCUGAAACCCCUUAGAGCAGCUAACAUUACAAAACACAAUAAUCAAAGAAUUACAGUUUAAGAGUUAGAACUUAAUCAAAGCAUAGUGUAGCAACAACAGAGAGAGUCUUUUCGGGUUGUUGGCCUGUGAACAUAAGCCCUGCUGGAUCGGAACAAUGGUCCAUUUCACUUAACAUCUUGUUCUCACAGUGGCCGACCAGAUACCUGUGGGAAGUCUACAAGCAAAAGCUGAGCGCAACAGCACUCUGAUAGAAUCACUGAAUUAUAGAGUUGCAAGGGAUUCCAAGGGUCAUCUAGUCCAACCCCCUGCCAUGCAGAAAUCACAGGUGAAGAAUUUCUGACAGAUGGUCAUCUAACCUCUGUUUAAAGCUCUCCAGUGGAGGAGAAACCAUCACCUUCCCAGGCAGUCCACUUUAUCAAAGGCCUUACCGAAAUCCGGAUAUGUUACAUCCACAGCAUCCCCCUGAGCCACCAAGCUUGUAACAUUAUAUAUAAAAAAGGGAAAUAAAUAAGAUUACUCUGGCAUGACUUUUUUUUUUGAGGAACCCAUGCUGGCUCUUAGUAAUCACAGCAUCCUUUACUAAGUGAUCAUGUACUUAGUUUAAUUAUGUGUUCUAGGACCUUUCCUGAUAUUGACAUAAA